rnacentral:tRNA from 1 species
GUCCGUGUAGUGUAAUGGUUAAUGCACCGGUCUCUCUAACCGGCAAUAGGGGUUCGAUUCCCCUCACGGAUA